AGCGACAGGCCUAACACAUGCAAGUCAGGGGCAGCACAAGGAGCAAUCUGAGGUGGCGACCGGCGCACGGGUGAGUAACACGUAUGCAACCUGCCUGUAAGCGGGGAAUAACCCGUUGAAAGACGGACUAAUACCGCAUAAUACUAAAUUACUGCAUGGUAAUUUAUUUAAACAUUUAUGGCUUACAGAUGGGCAUGCGCAUGAUUAGCUAGUUGGAGAGGUAACGGCUCCCCAAGGCAACGAUCAUUAGGGGUUCUGAGAGGAAGGUCCCCCACACUGGUACUGAGACACGGACCAGACUCCUACGGGAGGCAGCAGUGAGGAAUAUUGGUCAAUGGACGAGAGUCUGAACCAGCCAAGUCGCGUGCAGGAAGAAUGUCCUUAAUGGAUUGUAAACUGCCUUUGCAGGGGAAUAAAGUGCAUCACGUGUGAUGUUUUGUAUGUACUCUGCGAAUAAGGAUCGGCUAACUCCGUGCCAGCCGCAGC
rnacentral:rRNA from 1 species